GACGAACGCUGGCGGCGUGCUUAACACAUGCAAGUCGAACGGAAAGGCCCUGCUUUUGUGGGGUGCUCGAGUGGCGAACGGGUGAGUAACACGUGAGUAACCUGCCCUUGACUUUGGGAUAACUUCAGGAAACUGGGGCUAAUACCGGAUAGGAGCUCCUGCUGCAUGGUGGGGGUUGGAAAGUUUCGGCGGUUGGGGAUGGACCCGCGGCUUAUCAGCUUGUUGGUGGGGUAGUGGCUUACCAAGGCUUUGACGGGUAGCCGGCCUGAGAGGGUGACCGGCCACAUUGGGACUGAGAUACGGCCCUGACUCCUACGGGAGGCAGCAGUGGGGAAUAUUGCACAAUGGGCGGAAGCCUGAUGCAGCAACGCCGCGUGCGGGAUGACGGCCUUCGGGUUGUAAACCGCUUUCGCCUGUGACGAAGCGUGAGUGACGGUAAUGGGUAAAGAAGCACCGGCUAACUACGUG
rnacentral:rRNA from 1 species